UACGUAGGGACCGAGCGUUGUCCGGGUUCAUUGGGCGUAAAGAGCUCGUAGGCGGCUGUUCAAGUCGAACGUGAAAACUCGGAGCUCAACUCCGAGCCUGCGUUCGAUACUGGACGGCUAGAGUCUGGUAGGGGGAUCUGGAAUUCCUGGUGUAGCGGUGGAAUGCGCAGAUAUCAGGAGGAACACCGGUGGCGAAGGCGGGAUCCUGGGGCCAUCCUGACACUGAGAAGCGAAAGCUAGGGGAGCGAACGGG
rnacentral:rRNA from 1 species